GAAUCUUGGACAAUGGGGGCAACCCUGAUCCAGCGAUGCCACGUGAGCGAUGAAGGCCUUAGGGUUGUAAAGCUCUUUCACCGGUGACGAUAAUGACGGUAGCCGGAGAAGCAGCCCCGGCUAACUCCGUGCCAGCAGCCGCGGUAAUACGGAGGGGGCUAGCGUUGUUCGGAAUUACUGGGCGUAAAGCGCGCGUAGGCGGAUGAUCAAGUCGGGGGUGAAAUCCCGGGGCUCAACCCCGGAACGGCCCUCGAUACUGGCCAUCUGGAGGACGGGAGAGGUGAGUGGAAUGGCGAGUGUAGAGGUGAAAUUCGUAGAUAUUCGCCGGAACACCAGUGGCGAAGGCGGCUCACUGGCCCGUACCUGACGCUGAGGCGCGAAAGCGUGGGGAGCAAACAGG
rnacentral:rRNA from 1 species